rnacentral:lncRNA from 1 species
UAACAAAGAGUACCUCAUAUCAGCUUUCAUUCGUCGAUCUUGAAUUAAUAUAUAUGUAUGAUUUGAAUUUUGGAAUAAAUGGUUCCAGAAACCCAUAUAAACACCCUUUUAUAUACCUUGGUCCACAGAUUUUUAUCAGUAGACAACUUCCGAUUACCAAUACCAGGGAGUGGUAAAUAUGUAUGUGACAGUUCACAACAGCAAGAACAGCGCCUGCUAUACUACAUAGUAGUCUCUUUCUGUCUGGGUCUGUUAUUUGUCUAACAAAUAGUCCAAUGCCAAAAGACACAACCAGUAUAAUUCCAUAAAUCACGUCGUCCUGCAUUUUCCAAAAAACGCCUCCACAUUGGAG